GACGAACGCUGGCGGCGUGCUUAACACAUGCAAGUCGAACGGAAAGGCCCUGCUUUUGUGGGGUGCUCGAGUGGCGAACGGGUGAGUAACACGUGAGUAACCUGCCCUGGACUGGGGGAUAACGUCAGGAAACUGGGGCUAAUACCGGAUAGGAGCUCCUGCUGCAGGGGGGGGGUUGGAAAGUUUCGGCGGUUGGGGAUGGACUCGCGGCUUAUCAGCUAGUUGGUGGGGUAGUGGCUUACCAAGGCUUUGACGGGUAGCCGGCCUGAGAGGGUGACCGGCCACAUUGGGACUGAGAUACGGCCCAGACUCCUACGGGAGGCAGCAGUGGGGAAUAUUGCACAAUGGGCGGAAGCCUGAUGCAGCAACGCCGCGUGCGGGAUGACGGCCUUCGGGUUGUAAACCGCUUUCGCCUGUGACGAAGCGUGAGUGACGGUAAUGGGUAAAGAAGCACCGGCUAACUACGUG
rnacentral:rRNA from 1 species